GGGAAGAGGAGAAAUGAAUAGAAAAAUAAUGCAGCUAAGAAGGAGAAAGAGAUUGAAUGAUCUGUGAGUAAGUUUCAGGAUAGAGAAGGCUAGGAUGAUAAUAGAAGAAGGCUACAAUGGAACAUACUGGAAAUAGGAAGAAAACUUUCGGAAAUAGACUUGACAGAAGAUAAAAGAGAGAGGAUAACAA